rnacentral:rRNA from 1 species
AGUCACUGACAUUAGAUACCCCCGGUAGUCCCAGCCGUAAACAAUGUGCGUUAGGUAUGUCGGUAACCACGUGUUACUGAUGUGCCGAAGAGAAAUCGUGAAACGCACCACCUGGGAAGUGCGGUCGCAAGGCUGAAACUUAAAGGAAUUGCGGGGAGCACCACAACAGGUGGAGCCUGCGGUUUAAUUGGAUUCAACGCCGGACAUCUCACCGGAUAAGACGGCUGAAUGAUUGUCAAUCUGAAGGUUUUACAUGACUAGCUG